GACAGAGGGUGCAAACGUUGCUCGGAAUUACUGGGCGUAAAGCGCGUGUAGGCGGGUUUUCAAGUCAGAUGUGAAAUCCCUGGGCUCAACCCAGGAACUGCAUUUGAAACUGGGAGUCUUGAGUAUCGGAGAGGAAAGCGGAAUUCCUGGUGUAGAGGUGAAAUUCGUAGAUAUCAGGAGGAACACCGGUGGCGAAGGCGGCUUUCUGGACGAUAACUGACGCUGAGACGCGAAAGCGUGGGGAGCAAACAGG
rnacentral:rRNA from 1 species